rnacentral:rRNA from 2 species
AGAGUUUGAUCCUGGCUCAGAGUGAACGCUGGCGGCGUGCCUAAUACAUGCAAGUCGAACGAUGAAAUUUCUAGCUUGCUAGAAGUGGAUUAGUGGCGCACGGGUGAGUAACGCAUAGGUUAUGUGCCUCUUAGUUUGGGAUAGCCAUUGGAAACGAUGAUUAAUACCAGAUACUCCCUACGGGGGAAAGAUUUAUCGCUAAGAGAUCAGCCUAUGUCCUAUCAGCUUGUUGGUAAGGUAAUGGCUUACCAAGGCUAUGACGGGUAUCCGGCCUGAGAGGGUGAACGGACACACUGGAACUGAGACACGGUCCAGACUCCUACGGGAGGCAGCAGUAGGGAAUAUUGCUCAAUGGGGGAAACCCUGAAGCAGCAACGCCGCGUGGAGGAUGAAGGUUUUAGGAUUGUAAACUCCUUUUGUUAGAGAAGAUAAUGACGGUAUCUAACGAAUAAGCACCGGCUAACUCCGUGCCAGCAGCCGCGGUAAUACGGAGGGUGCAAGCGUUACUCGGAAUCACUGGGCGUAAAGAGCGCGUAGGCGGGAUAGUCAGUCAGGUGUGAAAUCCUAUGGCUUAACCAUAGAACUGCAUUUGAAACUACUAUUCUAGAGUGUGGGAGAGGUAGGUGGAAUUCUUGGUGUAGGGGUAAAAUCCGUAGAGAUCAAGAGGAAUACUCAUUGCGAAGGCGACCUGCUGGAACAUUACUGACGCUGAUUGCGCGAAAGCGUGGGGAGCAAACAGGAUUAGAUACCCUGGUAGUCCACGCCCUAAACGAUGGAUGCUAGUUGUUGGAGGGCUUAGUCUCUCCAGUAAUGCAGCUAACGCAUUAAGCAUCCCGCCUGGGGAGUACGGUCGCAAGAUUAAAACUCAAAGGAAUAGACGGGGACCCGCACAAGCGGUGGAGCAUGUGGUUUAAUUCGAAGAUACACGAAGAACCUUACCUAGGCUUGACAUUGAGAGAAUCCGCUAGAAAUAGUGGAGUGUCUAGCUUGCUAGACCUUGAAAACAGGUGCUGCACGGCUGUCGUCAGCUCGUGUCGUGAGAUGUUGGGUUAAGUCCCGCAACGAGCGCAACCCCCUUUCUUAGUUGCUAACAGGUCAUGCUGAGAACUCUAAGGAUACUGCCUCCGUAAGGAGGAGGAAGGUGGGGACGACGUCAAGUCAUCAUGGCCCUUACGCCUAGGGCUACACACGUGCUACAAUGGGGUGUACAAAGAGAAGCAAUACUGCGAAGUGGAGCCAAUCUUCAAAACAUCUCUCAGUUCGGAUUGUAGGCUGCAACUCGCCUGCAUGAAGCUGGAAUCGCUAGUAAUCGCAAAUCAGCCAUGUUGCGGUGAAUACGUUCCCGGGUCUUGUACUCACCGCCCGUCACACCAUGGGAGUUGUGUUUGCCUUAAGUCAGGAUGCUAAACCAGCUACUGCCCACGGCACACACAGCGACUGGGGUGAAGUCGUAACAAGGUAACCGUAGGUGAACCUGCGGUUG